rnacentral:misc_RNA from 1 species
AAGUCGUAACAAGGUCUCCGUAGGUGAACCUGCGGAGGGAUCAUUAACACGUUUCUAACAACGUAUUCUACCAAAACAUGGAAUCAGACCUAGCAAUAGGUCAGACUAGCCUCCCCACAGAGCGAAGCAUAGAGGUCACUCUAUGUGUAGCUAUGCGGGCUAUGAUUUUCUAUUUUUAUUAACGCUUUUCCACCUGGAUUGAUCUUCGAUCAACUCCAACCUAAUCGUGACCUAGCCUUUUGUGUCUUGACCUAGUCUUGACCUAAGGUUGAUAUCAAUAAUCUAAGCACAACUCUUAGCAACGGAUAUCUUGGUUCUC